rnacentral:lncRNA from 10 species
CAGCAUUCUCAGGGCCUUCUGCCAAGGGCCCGCUUUGAUCUCCCUUAAAGGACAGCAUUAUCUGACCAGAGACCCAUGCAGGAGACCUCUCCAGGUACACAUAUUUCCUGCUACUGAAUGGCUUAGACUGGGAUUUGCAAGGAACUACGAAGUCCAAGACCUUUGCCUUUCUUUUAGAAGAAGGCACCAGCUGGUUCUCCAAUGUUGAAGGUCUUCUCCAGAGAUACCUUAAGGUGUGGGGAGAUUACAACUUGCUCAAGGUCUCAUAGCUAGAAGAUGUCAGAGUGAUAACUCAAACCAUGUCACAUGACUCUAAGCCCAAAGCAGCCUCUAGAAGGUUGUUUGAUCUUCUGAUGGAAGCACAAAUCACCAUUCCAACAUGAAAGAUGGAGAAACUUAAGUCUAGAGA